AAGUCGAACGAUUCGAUUUCGAACUUCGAUCUUCGAAUUUCGAAUAUCGAAUAGUGGCGGACGGGUGAGUAACGCGUGGGUAACCUACCCAUAAAGCCGGGACAACCCUUGGAAACGAGGGCUAAUACCGGAUAAUCUUUUAGCUUGGCAUCAAGUUUUAAGAAAAGGUGGCCUCUGAAGAUGCUACCGAUUAUGGAUGGACCCGCGUCUGAUUAGCUGGUUGGUGGGGUAAAGGCCUACCAAGGCGACGAUCAGUAGCCGGCCUGAGAGGGUGAACGGCCACACUGGGACUGAGACACGGGCCCAGACUCCUACGGGAGGCAGCAGUGGGGAAUCUUCCGCAAUGGACGAAAGUCUGACGGAGCAACGCCGCGUGUAUGAUGAAGGUCUUCGGAUUGUAAAGUACUGUCUUUGGGGAAGAAUGACGGAUUUGAAAAUAUUGAGUUCGUAUGACGGUACCCAAGGGGGAAGCCCCGGCUAACUACGUGCCAGCAGCCGCGGUAAUACGUAGGGGGCAAGCGUUGUCCGGAAUUAUUGGGCGUAAAGGGCGCGUAGGCGGAUAGUUAAGUCCGGUGUGAAAGAUCAGGGCUCAACCCUGAGAGUGCAUCGGAAACUGGUUAUCUUGAGGACAGGAGAGGAAAGUGGAAUUCCACGUGUAGCGGUGAAAUGCGUAGAUAUGUGGAGGAACACCAGUGGCGAAGGCGACUUUCUGGACUGUAACUGACGCU
rnacentral:rRNA from 1 species